AGCACAAGGUCCUGAGUUCCAUUCCCGGUACUCCCCCCACCAAAACAAUAAUAAUGGUGACAACCAGACAGUGAUGACAUAGCAGUAAAUGUUGGAAAUGAGGCCCCCGACUCCAUUUGUCAGUGCAGAUAAAGAAGAAAUCUCGACAAGACUUUUUACUUUCGCAAAGAGGCAGAAGCUUGAGGUAGCAGAUUUCCUCUUUCCCUUCUUCAGCAUGAUGGUUCAAUCAACAUUGGAUUUUACCAGCUGGUGUUAAAGAGGAAAAAACUGGAGAACGAUCACAGAGUAAGCCCAAAGGAGGAGUGUCAGGAAUUACGAAGUUUCACUCUACCUUCUAAAGAACACAGCUGUAUAGUAAGUCCACCCCAUAAACAGAAAAUAAUGCACACUGAAAAUGUUCAAGUAGACAGGAUGAUUAUCUGGUUACGGGUCUGACUAAGAAUUACUAACCAGGUAAGACUGGAAUGGUUAUUACAAAGACACC
rnacentral:lncRNA from 1 species